GCAUUUUUACAGUUUGUUUGAGUUUUAUUCUCGUUGUCGUUUUCAACAAAGAUUAUAUACAAUCAAUCAUUCAGCAGGUUCUGGAAGAAAAACAUUGCUGGAAAUAUGAUAGGUUUGGUGAGGUGAAUUGGACCCUAGUGUACAACAACACGGAGAACUCGUGUGUGUUUGUCGUCUUCAAUUCAUUAUUUCCAGACGC